rnacentral:rRNA from 1 species
UACGUAGGUGGCAAGCGUUGUCCGGAAUUAUUGGGCGUAAAGCGCGCGCAGGUGGUUCCUUAAGUCUGAUGUGAAAGCCCACGGCUCAACCGAGGAAGUGCAUCCGAAACUGGCGAGCUAGAGUACUAAAGAGGAUCGCGGAAUUCCCGGUGUAGAGGUGAAAUUCGUAGAUAUCGGGAGGAACACCGGUGGCGAAGGCGGCGAUCUGGGUAGAUACUGACGCUGAGGUGCGAAAGCGUGGGGAGCAAACAGG